GGUUGAUCCUGCCAGUAGUCAUAUGCUUGUCUCAAAGAUUAAGCCAUGCAUGUCUAAGUAUAAGCAAUUAUACAGCGAAACUGCGAAUGGCUCAUUAUAUAAGUUAUCGUUUAUUUGAUAGCACUUUACUACAUGGAUAACUGUGGUAAUUCUAGAGCUAAUACAUGCUAAAAACCCCGACUUCGGAAGGGGUGUAUUUAUUAGAUUAAAAACCAACGCCCUUCGGGGCUCUGUGGUGAUUCAUGAUAACUUCUCGAAUCGCAUGGCCUUGCGCCGGCGAUGGUUCAUUCAAA
rnacentral:rRNA from 1 species